UACGUAGGGGGCAAGCGUUGUCCGGAAUUAUUGGGCGUAAAGAGCGUGUAGGCGGCCUGAAAGGUCAGCUGUGAAAACUCGAGGCUCAACCUCGAGACGUCGGUUGAAACCAUCUGGCUAGAGUCCGGAAGAGGAGAGUGGAAUUCCCGGUGUAGCGGUGAAAUGCGCAGAUAUCGGGAAGAACACCCGUGGCGAAGGCGGCUCUCUGGGACGGUACUGACGCUGAGGUGCGAAAGCGUGGGGAGCAAACAGG
rnacentral:rRNA from 1 species